GACGAACGCUGGCGGCGUGCCUAAUACAUGCAAGUCGACCUUACUGGCGAACGGGUGAGUAACACGUGGGUCAUCUGCCCGACAGACGGGGAUAACACUUGGAAACAGGUGCCAAUCCCGUAUACUGAUGGAUUGACCCGCGGUGCAUUAACUAGUUGGGGAGGCAACGGCUCACCAAGGCCACGAUGCAUAGCCGACCUGAGAGUGUGAACUGCGAAAUUGGAACUGCGACACGGCCCAAAGUCCUACGGUAGGAAGCAGUAGGGAAUAGUCGGCAAUGGACGAAAUUCUGAUCGAGCAACGCCGCGUGAAUGAAGAAGGUUUUCGGAUCGAAAAACUCUGUAAUUAGAGAAGCGGUAUCUAACCAGAAAGCCACGGCUAACGACGUGCCAGCCGCCGCGGUAAUUC
rnacentral:rRNA from 1 species